AAUCAACGCUGGCGGCGUGCCUCAGACAUGCAAGUCGAACGAUUAAAGCUCUCUUCGGAGAGUGCAUAGAGUGGCGCACGGGUGAGUAACACGUAAGUAAUCUACCUUCGAGUGGGGAAUAACGUCCGGAAACGGACGCUAAUACCGCAUAAUGCAGCGGCAUCAUAAGAUGACAGUUGUUAAAGAUUUAUCGCUUGAAGAGGAGCUUGCGGCAGAUUAGCUAGUUGGUAAGGUAAUGGCUUACCAAGGCUACGAUCUGUAACCGGUCUAAGAGGACGGUCGGUCACACUGACACUGAAUAACGGGUCAGACUCCUACGGGAGGCAGCAGUCGGGAAUUUUGGGCAAUGGGCGAAAGCCUGACCCAGCAACGCCGCGUGAAGGAUGAAGUAUUUCGGUAUGUAAACUU
rnacentral:rRNA from 1 species